GCUCUACAUUCAGUAGGGCCCAGCCUGGGAGGUGAACAAACCUCUCCCUGUUACCUCCCAGCCAGGAGUGCUGCAGGGAUGGAGCUGCCUGGGGGUCCUGUGAACCUUGAGACACUGCACCGGGCCACGGCUCAUCAGACCCUAACUGCCAUUUGAAUACCACCCAAACACCCAGGCCCAUUCCGGAGCUCCUCAGACCUCUGGGAUGCUGUAACAAGGAAAGAAGAAUGGCCAGAGCAGAGCAUAUGGUGUGGAAGGUGAAAUAAAACAAAACAAAACCCAGGCUGUUUUCCCUGAAACAAAAUGCUGCAGGCUAUGGGAGACUCCAGCCGUAAGUGGUACGCUAACCACCCUCACUUCCAAACGGAGCAGCACCUGAGGGUUUUAUCUUCGAACCCUUCAGAGGGCCACUUUGCAAAAACUCAGUGUGAACAGAGGCAGAAGAACUGAACAGCUCACAGUGAACCAAACCAAGAUACUCUGUUCCUCUGCCAGGCCUCUUCUACACUGGGUUUUUGGCCCCUGGGAUAGCUGCACGGGUGCAAAACCCUCGUGUCGACACAAGUUGCAGUGGCAUAAAUCAUGUCUGAACUAAGGGUUUUCCCAGUGCAGCUACCUGAUGGUUAAAACCUCAGGGCCAAAGUCUCUGCUGAUGUAAAUUGGCACAGCUCUAUUUGGAUUCAGCCCCAGACAAGACCUCAGAUACAGUUGAGCCUGGGCACCAAAGAUCAGAUCUGGAUCAGGAGCUGACUAAUCCCAAGGUUGGGAGUGUUUGGAUGUGGAUCCUGGAGCUUGACUUUCUUUUGUAUCAAAGAAGAUAAAGGUGGAAAGGAUCCUGUUAUAGGCACCAAGGGAAAACACCCUCCUGUGCCACGUUCCCUGACUUUGGGUCCAUCACUCUUCACCCCAUCUAUCCAUCCAUUCCCACUUGGAUCUGAUCCUUCUGAAGGGUGAGAGUUGAGUUCUCAGCUUUAGAGGGAACACUUUUAAAUAAACAAACACUGACAGGCAGUCCUUGACAUCAUGAAUAACGAUAAGAUAGCACCAAGGGGCUGAGCUGGUGUGGUCCCAGGACAACCAGGUAACUAGCCAAUGGCUUGAUAAGGUCAGAAGGGCCCUGACCUGCCACUGCCACUCACCACCAGACACUCCCCCACAUCCUGCUGCAGUCUCUCAUAGCUGGGUUUCUCGGAUCUAAGCGUUGCCUGGGGCUGGGAGCUCCAUCAGGGGAGACAGAGAGUGUGAGGAAAGUGAAAGUGUCAGAAAUCUCACUCCAGACCUGACACGCAGCAUCACCUCAUAUUCCAGUUCUGAGCAUCCCAGUCCUGAGCCACAGCCCCCUCGGCUAUUCUAAAUCAAUGGUGGGAGAAAUUACCAAUGGUUAGAGCAGGGGCAGGCAGUCAAGCGAGCUGGGUUUUAUUCCUGGCCAUGUCACUGACCUGCUGGGUGACCUAUGCAAGAUUCUUAACCUCUGUCUCCUUCCGUUUUCCCAUCUGUAAAUACAGACAUUUGCUGUAACUAUGUUAACUCUGCCUCCUACAGAUGGUAUCCUGCCAUCUUCCCCUCUUCGCACACAGCAUAUAGAAAAUAUGCACCCGUGCAUUGCUUUUAUAACUUACUGCAUGCAUGU